GGUGGUCUGAAUGCAGUGGUAUUUACGACUAAUUGAUUACGACCAGUUACAGAUUUCUUUGUUCCUUCUCCACUCCCACUGUUUCACUUGACUAGCCUUAA
ensembl:misc_RNA Y_RNA Y RNA